AGUGAACGCUGGCGGUAGGCCUAACACAUGCAAGUCGAACGGCAGCACAGUAAGAGCUUGCUCUUACGGGUGGCGAGUGGCGGACGGGUGAGGAAUACAUCGGAGUCUACUUUUUCGUGGGGGAUAACGUAGGGAAACUUACGCUAAUACCGCAUACGACCUACGGGUGAAAGCAGGGGAUCUUCGGACCUUGCGCGAUUGAAUGAGCCGAUGUCGGAUUAGCUAGUUGGCGGGGUAAAGGCCCACCAAGGCGACGAUCCGUAGCUGGUCUGAGAGGAUGAUCAGCCACACUGGAACUGAGACACGGUCCAGACUCCUACGGGAGGCAGCAGUGGGGAAUAUUGGACAAUGGGCGAAAGCCUGAUCCAGCCAUACCGCGUGGGUGAAGAAGGCCUUCGGGUUGUAAAGCCCUUUUGUUGGGAAAGAAAAGCAGCAGGUUAAUACCCCGCUGUUCUGACGGUACCCAAAGAAUAAGCACCGGCUAACUUCGUG
rnacentral:rRNA from 1 species